rnacentral:rRNA from 1 species
GAUGAACGCUAGCUACAGGCUUAACACAUGCAAGUCGAGGGACCGGCGCACGGGUGAGUAAUACGUAACCAACCUCCCCUUUACUCGGGGAUAGCCUUUCGGAAGAAAGAUUAAUACCAGAUAUAAAGGAUGGGGAUGCGUUUCAUUAGGUUGUUGGUGAGGUAACGGCCCACCACACCUUCGCUGGAUAGGGGUGCUGAUAGGAAGGUCCCCGGCACUGGAACUGGGGCCCGGGCCAAACUCGUAGGGGAGGUAGGAGUGAUGCAUAUUGGGCGAUGGGCGCUAGCCUGAACCAGCCAAGUAGCGUGAAAGAUGAAGGCUUAUGAAUCGUAAUUUUCUUUUAUAUAAGAAGCGGUAUCAUAUGAAUAAGGAUCGGCUAACUCCGUGCCAGCAGCCGCGGUAAUAC